CCCUGAAAUCGUGGCAGCCUCGCCUGAGGAGGCGGCUCCGAGGUGGCCUUGGGGCGGGGGUCCGUUCCCCCGGGGGCGGUAAAUGGGGUGCCGGGGGGAGCCUGGGGCCUUACCUGCGGCGGGGAGCGGGCUCCAUCUUGGGGGGAGCUCUGGUGGCGUGAGGGGUGAGGGCAGCCGCCCGCCCCGCCUCUGCCUGGUGGCGGGCACACCGCCCGUUGUUUGCACCGCGGCGUGAGGGAGAGAUGUGGCGUUCAUCCGGCAGAUGUGGAGGGGUGAAUCGCCUGCCUGCAUCCGCAUCAGGCCCUAGGGCUGCCCACAAAGGUGUGCAUUAUCCCCUUGCACAGCUGGGGCAAGCAGUAAAGUGUCAGUUCCCUCAUUUCGCUUAAGAUCUAUGUGCGUAGCCUGAGGUCUUAAUGGCUCAAUCUAGAAAUCUGGAUUCUGGUGUGCAGAAGUGAUCAAAGCAAAGUCAGCGGGAGCUUCAAAUACUCAGCUUUGAGGUCUGCAGGCUUGAGCGCAGAAUCCAGGAGCCACUAAAUUAUAGUGCUGGCUUUCAUCCAGGCAGAUCCUUUUGUUUAUUUUUUUCCUUUUUCCUUUUUGCUUAUGCUUAUCAACAUGCAUCCUUUGCAGGAGUGUGGAGUUGUAUUUGUUAAAGUUUGGGAUGCACAGGAUAUUGUGGAUGUGGUGCAUUGUUCUUCUCUUUAUAAUGCAGAUGCUGUACAAUAAACAGAGGAGAGACCAUUAA